CCGAGACCGCAGUAAAACCUCCCUGAUGGAAUCUCAUCAUCUUCAAAGUACAGACGACUCGGCUCCCAUCCGCAGGACAACUGCAUAUUUCAACAUUGCUUAAAUAAACUAUUUAUCUGA